UACGUAGGUGGCAAGCGUUAUCCGGAAUGAUUGGGCGUAAAGGGUGAGCAGGCGGUUCUUCAAGUCAUGAGUGAAAGGCAGAAGCUUAACUUCUGUUGGCUGAUGAGACUGGAGAACUUGAGUACAGGAGAGGGCGGCGGAACUCCAUGUGUAGCGGUAAAAUGCGUAGAGAUAUGGAAGAACACCAGUGGCGAAGGCGGCUUCCUGGUCUGCAACUGACACUGAGGCGCGAAAGCGUGGGGAGCAAACAGG
rnacentral:rRNA from 1 species